rnacentral:rRNA from 1 species
AUUUUCUUAGUAGCGGCGAGCGAAAAGAAAUCAGUUCAGCACUAAGUCACUUUGUCUAUAUGGCAAAUGUGAGAUGCAGUGUAUGGAACAUCAAUAUUCUGGUAUGACAAAUUAACUAUUUAAGUCCUUCUUAAAUGAGGCCAUUUACCCAUAGAGGGUGCCAGGCCCGUAUAACGUUAAUGAUUACUAGAUGGUGUUUCCAAAGAGUCGUGUUGCUUGAUAGUGCAGCACUAAGUGGGUGGUAAACUCCAUCUAAAACUAAAUAUAACCAUGAGACCGAUAGUAAACAAGUACCGUGAGGGAAAGUUGAAAAGAACUCUGAAUAGAGAGUUAAAUAGUACGUGAAACUGCUUAGAGGUUAAGCCCGAUGAACCUGAAUAUCCAUUAUUGAAAAUUCAUCAUUAAAGUAAUAAUAUUUAAAUAAUAUUGUGACGAUAGUGUGCAUUUUUUUGAUAUAAGGACAUUGUAAUCUAUUAGCAUACAAUAAAUUUAUCAUAAAAAAUGUCUUAUAGUUUAUUUAAAUUAAUAUGCUUGCAUUUUUAACAUAAAAUAAAUGUCAUUCAAUUUGAUAAAGUGUUGAUAGAUUAAUAUCAAAUACAGUGCGUUAAUUUUUCGAAAUUAUAUAAUGACAUAGAAAAUAUUUUUUUUAUAUUUAUUAUAAGCACUUGUAUGAUUAACAAUGCGAAAG